rnacentral:rRNA from 1 species
CCUGCGGAGGGAUCAUUGCUGGAACGCGCCCCGGCGCACCCAGAAACCCUUUGUGAACUUAUACCUUACUGUUGCCUCGGCGCAGGCCGGCCUCUUAGCUGAGGCCCCCCGGAGACGGGGAGCAGCCCGCCGGCGGCCAACCUAACUCUUGUUUUUACACUGUAUCUCUGAGUAAAAAAACAUAAAUGAAUCAAAACUUUCAACAACGGAUCUCUUGGUUCUGGCAUCGAUGAAGAACGCAGCGAAAUGCGAUAAGUAAUGUGAAUUGCAGAAUUCAGUGAAUCAUCGAAUCUUUGAACGCACAUUGCGCCCUCUGGUAUUCCGGAGGGCAUGCCUGUUCGAGCGUCAUUUCAACCCUCAAGCCUGGCUUGGUGUUGGGGCACUGCCUGUAAAAGGGCAGGCCCUGAAAUCUAGUGGCGAGCUCGCUAGGACCCCGAGCGUAGUAGUUAUAUCUCGUUCUGGAAGGCCCUGGCGGUGCCCUGCCGUUAAACCCCCAACUUCUGAAAAUUUGACCUCGGAUCAGGUAGGAAUACCCGCUGAACUUAAGCAUAUCAA